AUUUUAGUAGUUAUAUUAUUUGCAUCUUUCUUCCUACAUCCCCCUUUAUGACUGUUUCGUCUUUCGUAAUAGUUGGUUGUAUUGUAGGCUUGUAACCGUGAUCCACGCAUCAACCUCGAGUAUGUAGUCAUAAAAUUAAAAUUCUUAAAAAUAUUUUUAAAUGAUUAAAUAAUUCGUUGAAUUAAAAAAUUAUAAUUAAAACCUUAAAUUUAUUAAUAAUUUAUAAUUAGAUCUUUGAAUUUUAGUCAAAUCUCUACAUUUUUAAGUAAUUUAUAAUUAUAUUUUUAAACUUUAAUUAAUCUUGUAAAUAAGUCUCUAAACUUUUUUGACAGAAGGUUAGAUUAUAAAUCAUUAAAAAGCUCAUAGUCCAAGUAAUAAACUAUUCAUUUUCCGUUUCUAAAUAAAUGUCGCAACUUUGCAAUGUGAAGUUUUCACAUAACUUAUUUUGAUAAUAUUUUUUAACUAAUAUAUAAAUACAAAUGUUAACAUGUAAGACGUAAAAUUGUUCAAUUUCUUGCAAUAAGUAUUAUCAAAAUAUCAAUUUUUUAUUAUUUUAUAUUAUAGAUGCUUAAAGAAAUUAAUAAUUAAAGUUGUGUUAUGACAUAUGUGUGCAGUUGUUGACCGCAACAUGUAUUUAUGAACAAAGUGAGUUUUUUAUUUUUGAGGGAAAAAACAAAGUGAUUUUUUAAAGUUCAUAGAUUUGAUUUAAUUUAAAGAUUUAAUGAAGCACUAUUAAAAGAACCAAAAAGAAAAUAGAAAAAUUAGUUGAAAAAUAUAUUUAAAUAAUCAUAAAUAGAACAUUGACCGACUUGUAACUAAACAUAAAUGUUAUGUAACUUUUUUAUAUGUAAUAAUUUAAAAUUUUAUUUAAUUUAAAUCAGAUUUAUCUAAAAAGUAUGGAUAUUCAACAAAUAUUCACAACUAUAAAAAAAAUAAAAAUGAAGGGACUACUAUCAAAGAAUAUCAAAAAACUUAAUUACAGCAUCAUCACCAGUACCAUUGAAAAGUACAUGAAAGCAAUAUGACAGCAAGUGGUCCAACAUGGUCCUCACUGCCUCAAGGCACCAACCAUAAAACUGUUUUUUUUUUUCUUACUAUCUAUUUUGAUUUUUUCUUUCUAACAACUUUUUUUAUUUUUUAUUUCUCAUAAACUAUUUCUAUCGUGGGUAAUAUAUUCAAUGCGUAAGGAACUAAAUAUAGAUAUCGUGUAAAAAAAUGUUAAUAUCUUUUAAAGUUAAAAUGAAAUAUAUUAAUUGAACUUCCUAAUUGAUUCUCGCAGAAGAAGUGUUAGAAAAAGACCGAAAAGAAAGAUAAACUAGCUACAUCAACAAUACAAAAUAUUUUAAAAGAAGAAGAGCAAAAUACAAGCUCAUUGAAAAGGUAACACAACCAAAAAGAGCCAACAAGUAAGUUCACUAUUUUAUUGAAAAACUCGAGCAUUCAACCAAAUCAAAUGAAGAACAAAAUGAAUAUUUUUGAGUAGCCACCAAGUGAUCCAAAUUGAAGUAAGUGAUAUGUGAUGUAUGUCGGAUGAACCUAACAAAACCUAGCCAAUUAUAAAUAUCAAACCAAAGUUUUGUGAAGAAGUCACAGGAAAAAAAGAGAUGACUGAUGUUCUUCUGGAGGUCACAACUGCUCGCACAUAAUUCUGCUUUUGGCCGAAGCACUCGUCUCCUGAUUAAAUUAUUUGUUGGUGGUAUCCGAUUGUGCAACAGAUGCCAAGCAAAAAGGUUGGCUUUGAGAGGAACCUCUUUAUGCCAAAAGAUAUGUAAAUGAUCACCAUUUUUAGGUUGAUCCAUCGAAAGAAGGUAAUUAUAAACACUUGAAACAUUGUAUUUUUUUAUACAUGAAGUGGCAAAAUGCACAUGUCUCUCACUUCAGCCUGCAAAACAAUUGGAAGUAAUAAUUUGCAACACUCCCGGACUUGCUCUUCUUCCCAAGCCAACAACUUCUGCCUCCAUUUCCGAGUCUCACCACCCUCCCCCAACCUAAAGAGAACAUGUCAUACACUAGACGCCAUUUUGUAGUCAGCUAGAUCAAAAAGACGACUAUAUCUAAACUUCAAAACCCCUACUUUUAACCAAAGAUCCCACCAAAAUAAAGUAUCUUUACCAUCUGCCACCUCUCAGCAUAAAUUAUCUUCAAACAAACUUCCGACCCCCACUCACCCCAUCUCUGAUGUUAAUCAAAUUCUUCCACCAAACGACUAUAUAGGUAUCUCUUUCAAUCUUGUUGUGUUUCAAUUGAUGAGAGAUUUUUUUUGUUGCCCAUGUUUUCUCUAGAAUAUUAAAAGUAUCAGGUUUAUUCCACUUACUCUUGACAUUUUAAAAAUAAUUAUUUUAAAAUUUGAACAUUUUUAUUUGUGAUACGGGCUUAUAAAUAUUAUUAUGUCAAUAAAACAUGGGCUAAAAAUUAUUUACAAAUGUUUAUAUUUGAAAUUGAGUGAUUAUGACCGUUUUAUAAUGAGUGAAAACUAUAAACACACCGUACUUGGCACGGAUCACUCACUAAUGUAUAUUACAAAAAAUGGCAUAAGAAUUUUGCCAUAUAAUAAAGAAUGAUAUUGAAAACACUAAUAUAGAUCUCAUAUCAUAUUUGAGAGGUCAUGUAUAUGUUACCUGUCCUUAGCAUUUGAAAGAGCAUGAUGCUUCAAAACUAGUGGUUACUGGUUAUCUUCCCAUCCAUGUGGAAAACCUAUUCAAUACGUAUACUGAGCAAAUUAGGUAUAAGAAAUAUUUCCAAAAACAAUCGUAAAUGAGAUUUUUUUUUUGUUUCAUUUCCUUUUCAUAUGUCACUUCAAUUGCAAAUCAUCGAUCAUCUGACGUUGAACACCUCAAUCUUGUUAGAGAUUGACAAAGAUACGUGGAAU
rnacentral:lncRNA from 1 species